CCCUUAGAUGUUCUGGGCCGCACGCGCGCUACACUGAUGCAUUCAACAAGCCUAGCCUUGACCGAGAGGUCCGGGUAAUCUUUGAAACUGCAUCGUGAUGGGGCUAGAUUAUUGCAAUUAUUAAUCUUCAACGAGGAAUGCCUAGUAAGCGUGAUUCAUCAAAUCGCGUUGAUUACGUCCCUGCCCUUUGUACACACCGCCCGUCGCUCCUACCGAUUGAAUGUGUUGGUGAGGAGCUCGGAUUGGCAGCAGUUGGUGGUUCGCCACCGGCUAAUGCUGAGAAGUCCUCCAAACCGCCCCAUUUAGAGGAAGGAGAAGUCGUAACA
rnacentral:rRNA from 1 species